rnacentral:tRNA from 1 species
AAGAUACUAGUAAAAUAGACUAUUACACUGCUUUGUCAAGGCAGACUUGCGGGUUGAAGCCCCGCGUGUCUUA